rnacentral:lncRNA from 1 species
GUUUUCUGUCAGCUUCUCUAAAGAUUCAAGGAUAGAGUUUAAAUUAAGGAUACAUUCAAGGGUACCCUUCAGGGUAGGAACUAACUCUGCACUGAUUUUUAUUUGGUUAGAGAGCAUCCCGAGCAGUGUGUGUAGAUUAUGUAACUAGUCACUCAGGGCCCCUGGCUUCCUGUUAACCUGGCCCUCUUGUGAGGCAGUGCGCUGGGAGCAGCUGGGUCAGGCUCAGCGCUGUUGCCUAGCAGUCCCAGAAGAGGAAUCAUAAGGGGUUGUUGCUGAGCAACCAGGGGGCUGCUGGUGUCGCAUCAUCCCCCACGGAGUUGUACAGUAGCGGUGGGCCCGUCCCCAUGGGAGAAGCAGUACAGCCUGGCAGGGGGCCAAGCCUCCCUCAGAGGAACAAGGGCUGUUAGCAGAGUCAUGGUAUACUGAAAAGGCACUCAAUCAAGAGAAAUCUAGAGGGAGCUGGAAACCAUCAAGUUUUUGAGGCCAUACAGGGGGCAGGAAAGAUAGAGGUGGGUACAUUUUUGAUCCAUCAAUCCUGCUAUGGAGGGUGUCCUGGAAAAUAUCUUUGUUGCUAUAAAGCCAGGGGAC